rnacentral:rRNA from 1 species
GUGUCAGCCGCCGCGGUAAGACGGAGGGUGCUAGCGUUGUUCGGAAUUACUGGGCGUAAAGGGCGCGUAGGCGGCCCUGUCAGUCGGGUGUGAAAGCCCGGGGCUCAACCCCGGAACGGCACCCGAGACGGCAGGGCUGGAGACCGGGAGAGGAGGGUGGAAUAGCCAGUGUAGAGGUGAAAUUCGUAGAUAUUGGCUGGAACACCGGUGGCGAAAGCGGCUCUCUGGCCCGGUUCUGACGCUGAGGCGCGAAAGCGUGGGGAGCAAACAGGAUUAGAUACCCCCGUAGUCC